rnacentral:rRNA from 1 species
AACGAACGCUGGCGGCAUGCCUAACACAUGCAAGUCGAACGAAGCCUUCGGGCUUAGUGGCGCACGGGUGCGUAACGCGUGGAAAUCUGCCCUUGGGUUCGGAAUAACAGUUAGAAAUGACUGCUAAUACCGGAUGAUGUCUUCGGACCAAAGAUUUAUCGCCCAAGGAUGAGCCCGCGUAGGAUUAGGUAGUUGGUGGGGUAAUGGCCCACCAAGCCGACGAUCCUUAGCUGGUCUGAGAGGAUGAUCAGCCACACUGGGACUGAGACACGGCCCAGACUCCUACGGGAGGCAGCAGUGGGGAAUAUUGGACAAUGGGCGAAAGCCUGAUCCAGCAAUGCCGCGUGAGUGAUGAAGGCCUUAGGGUUGUAAAGCUCUUUUACCAGGGAUGAUAAUGACAGUAUCUGGAGAAUAAGCUCCGGCUAACUCCGUGCCAGCAGCCGCAGUAACAC